UGGGGAAUAUUGCACAAUGGGGGAAACCCUGAUGCAGCGACGCCGCGUGAGCGAAGAAGGUUUUCGAAUCGUAAAGCUCUGUCCUAUGGGAAGAUAAUGACGGUACCAUAGGAGGAAGCCCCGGCUAACUACGUGCCAGCAGCCGCGGUAAUACGUAGGGGGCAAGCGUUGUCCGGAAUCACUGGGCGUAAAGGGUUCGCAGGCGGAAAUGCAAGUCAGUUGUGAAAGGCAGAGGCUCAACCUCUGUAAGCAAUUGAAACUGUAUUUCUUGAGAUGUGGAGAGGCAAGUGAAUUCCUAGUGUAGCGGUGAAAUGCGUAGAUAUUAGGAAGAAUACCGGUGGCGAAGGCGACUUGCUGGACACAAACUGACGCUGAGGAACGAAAGCGUGGGUAGCAAACAGG
rnacentral:rRNA from 1 species